GUUCCCUGGCGAAAUGAUUUGUGAAACAUCAGUCCGAAAUUAUUCGGGGGUUCUUCGCCCUCCACUUUCCCAUAGCGCGUUUUCCUUUCUCCCACAGAGAUAUAAUAGAAACUAAUCUUCAAAAUCCAAACAUUCCAAGCCCCAUCCUUUUGUGCAGGCAUCUCGCUGUCUGCGCUGGGCACGGAGCGGCGCGCGCGCGCCCGUCUUUCCCUCGGCGGCCCCCGCGGCUCGGACCCGGGCCGGCAGACAGGCCAUCCAUCAUCCGCCCUCCUCCCGCGGAGCGCCGCAGCCGCCGCGGCCAAUCCGGCGGCAGGUGGGGCCGCACCUGCGCGACAGCCCGCCGCUUCCCUCCGCUCCCUUCGCCGCGCCUCGCGUGCUAGCGGUGCCCUUGUGAGCCACUGCGUUCUCCAAGGCCAGAACGGGACAGUUGACGAUGGUCGUACUUCUCCAUGUUCUGAGACCAGUUUAAACAAAAACAAAAACCAGACAACAACCUUGCAAGGGAAAGAAUUCAGAGUAAAUAAACAGUCUUUUUCUGGGAAGUAAAAUAUUUCCCUAAGAUGGAGAAAUUGAGAUGAGAGCUCAUCCACAAGAUUACCCAUCAAUGAGCACCAAUAGCAACCAAAUCCACUAGAAGACUGGGAGCUUUUAAGUCAAGAAACUUACAUCAGUAUCAUCAUUCCAAGAAGCGGUAUCCAAGCUGUUUUAUCGAAAGUGCGCAUGGGAGAAACCCCUUUCUGAGGCACAGACCCUGCAGGCUCUGAAGAAAUAGGAUAGAUUAUUU
rnacentral:lncRNA from 10 species